rnacentral:rRNA from 1 species
GACGAACGCUGGCGGCGUGCUUAACACAUGCAAGUCGAACGGUAAGGCCCUUCGGGUACACGAGUGGCGAACGGGUGAGUAACACGUGGGUGAUCUGCCCUGCACUUCGGGAUAAGCCUGGGAAACUGGGUCUAAUACCGGAUAGGACCAUGGACUUCACGGUUUGUGGUGGAAAGCUUUUGCGGUGUGGGAUGGGCCCGCGGCCUAUCAGCUUGUUGGUGGGGUAAUGGCCUACCCAAGGCGACGACGGGUAGCCGGCCUGAGAGGGUGUCCGGCCACACUGGGACUGAGAUACGGCCCAGACUCCUACGGGAGGCAGCAGUGGGGAAUAUUGCACAAUGGGCGCAAGCCUGAUGCAGCGACGCCGCGUGAGGGAUGACGGCCUUCGGGUG